rnacentral:tRNA from 1 species
GGCCUUGUAGCUCAGCUGGUAGAGCGCGCGCGUGCAAAGCGUAGGCAGCGUCCAUGUAUGGGUUCGAAUCCAACCGAGGCUA